UACGUAGGUGACCAGCGUUGUCCGGAUUUACUGGGCGUAAAGAGCGCGCAGGCGGUCGUUCAAGUCGAGGGUGAAAGCCCCCGGCUCAACUGGGGAGGGUCACUCGAUACUGAUCGACUUGAAGGCAGGAGAGGGAAGCGGAAUUCCCGGUGUAGUGGUGAAAUGCGUAGAUAUCGGGAGGAACACCAGUGGCGAAGGCGGCAUCCUGGACCGGCAUUGACGCUGAGGCGCGAAAGCUAGGGGAGCAAACGGG
rnacentral:rRNA from 1 species